GACGAACGCUGGCGGCGCGCUUAACACAUGCAAGUCGAGCGAGAACCAGCCCUUCGGGGCUGGGGACAGCGGCGAACGGGUGAGUAACACGUGGGUAAUCUGCCCUCGGCAUCGGGAUAGCCCGGGGAAACCCGGAUUAAUACCGAAUAGCCUCCGGAGCCUUCGGGCGCCGGAGAAAAGGUAGCUUCGGCCUCUGGCCGAGGAUGAGCCCGCGGCGGAUUAGCUUGUUGGCGGGGUAACGGCCCACCAAGGCGACGAUCCGUAGCUGGUCUGAGAGGACGAUCAGCCACACUGGGACUGAGACACGGCCCAGACUCCUACGGGAGGCAGCAGUGGGGAAUCUUGCGCAAAUGCGGGAAACCGUGACGCAGCGACGCCGCGUGGGGGAAGAAGGCCUUCGGGUUGUAAACCACUGUCAGAGGGGAUGAAGUGUUCCGGAGCAAUCUCCGGGAUUUGACAUAGCCUCAGAGGAAGCACGGGCUAAGUUCGUGCCAGCAGCCGCCGUAAAAC
rnacentral:rRNA from 1 species